GGAAAGGAACCUCUGCAGCUUAGAGGCAGCAGUCUAUCACCCUUUUGUCAGAGAACCUUUGUAGAAGAGUGAAUGUUUUUUGCCCUUUGAAAAUCUCUGUUUCUGCAAGAUGCCAUGCUAGGCACUGUACACAAUUAAAAUGAGUUCCCAUCUGCAAGGAAUUUGCAACCAUAGACAGCACAGUGAAGACAGGUGUUAACUUGAAGGCUGUACACAAACUGAAUUCUCAAGUCUCCUCCCCUUCCCUCUCCUAGGCACUGUACACAAUUAAAAUAGCAGAGUUCCCAUCUCCGAGGGAUUUGCAACCAUAGACAGCACAGUUAACUUGAAGGCAGCACACAAACAGGAGGCAAUUGAAGUUGUCACGUACUGUACAACACAGUGGCCCUUGAAUGAAGAUCCAAGACACAUAUGGAAAUUAAAGAUUUAAUUAUCACUCCUUUGGAGGAUUUGUUGGCCAUCAGCAACUUGGGCUUAACUUGGGUCCAAUUUUAUAAUUUUAGUAAAUUAUAAUAAUAUCUAUAA
rnacentral:lncRNA from 1 species